rnacentral:snRNA from 1 species
GGAUGUGUAUGUGACAUGACUUCAACACCUGUCACCCUUCUGAUCAUUUAAGUGGAUUCUGGCUGACUUGGCUUGCUAGGUUGUGUUCCUUUUCUUCCUUAUCACUCCUUGCAAUCUCUCUUGAAGCUACACACUGGGUCAAAGAGGAUGAUCUUCUCAGAAUAAAGGAGGAUAGGUCUCCAGUCUAGACUACGUGAAUAGGUAUGCUUCUAUGGUAGGGUCUAUAAACAAGCUAACAAGAUUUAUUUUUAUUUUGAGACAUAUUCUCACACUACAUUCUAGACUGGCCCACGGUUCAGUAAGUUUUA